UACGGGGGGAGCAAGCGUUGUUCGGAUUUACUGGGCGUAAAGGGCGCGUAGGCGGCCAGCACAAGUCAGUUGUGAAAUCUCCGAGCUUAACUCGGAAAGGUCAACUGAUACUGUGCGGCUAGAGUGCGGAAGGGGCAACUGGAAUUCUUGGUGUAGCGGUGAAAUGCGUAGAUAUCAAGAGGAACACCCGUGGCGAAGGCGGUGUGCUGGGUUGCAACUGACGCUGAGAUGCGAAAGCGUGGGGAGCGAACAGG
rnacentral:rRNA from 1 species